AUGAACGCUAGCUACAGGCUUAACACAUGCAAGUCGAGGGGCAGCAUUUUAGUUUGCUUGCAAACUAAAGAUGGCGACCGGCGCACGGGUGAGUAACACGUAUCCAACCUGCCGAUAACUCGGGGAUAGCCUUUCGAAAGAAAGAUUAAUAUCCGAUGGUAUAUUAAAACCGCAUGGUUUUACUAUUAAAGAAUUUCGGUUAUCGAUGGGGAUGCGUUCCAUUAGUUUGUUGGCGGGGUAACGGCCCACCAAGACUACGAUGGAUAGGGGUUCUGAGAGGAAGGUCCCCCACAUUGGAACUGAGACACGGUCCAAACUCCUACGGGAGGCAGCAGUGAGGAAUAUUGGUCAAUGGGCGAGAGCCUGAACCAGCCAAGUAGCGUGAAGGAUGAAGGCUCUAUGGGUCGUAAACUUCUUUUAUAUGGGAAUAAAGUAUUCCACGUGUGGAAUUUUGUAUGUACCAUAUGAAUAAGGAUCGGCUAACUCCGUGCCAGCAGCCGCGGUAAUACGGAGGAUCCGAGCGUUAUCCGGAUUUAUUGGGUUUAAAGGGAGCGUAGGUGGAUUGUUAAGUCAGUUGUGAAAGUUUGCGGCUCAACCGUAAAAUUGCAGUUGAAACUGGCAGUCUUGAGUACAGUAGAGGUGGGCGGAAUUCGUGGUGUAGCGGUGAAAUGCUUAGAUAUCACGAAGAACUCCGAUUGCGAAGGCAGCUCACUAGACUGUCACUGACACUGAUGCUCGAAAGUGUGGGUAUCAAACAGGAUUAGAUACCCUGGUAGUCCACACAGUAAACGAUGAAUACUCGCUGUUUGCGAUAUACAGUAAGCGGCCAAGCGAAAGCAUUAAGUAUUCCACCUGGGGAGUACGCCGGCAACGGUGAAACUCAAAGGAAUUGACGGGGGCCCGCACAAGCGGAGGAACAUGUGGUUUAAUUCGAUGAUACGCGAGGAACCUUACCCGGGCUUAAAUUGCAACAGAAUAUAUUGGAAACAGUAUAGCCGUAAGGCUGUUGUGAAGGUGCUGCAUGGUUGUCGUCAGCUCGUGCCGUGAGGUGUCGGCUUAAGUGCCAUAACGAGCGCAACCCUUAUCUUUAGUUACUAACAGGUCAUGCUGAGGACUCUAGAGAGACUGCCGUCGUAAGAUGUGAGGAAGGUGGGGAUGACGUCAAAUCAGCACGGCCCUUACGUCCGGGGCUACACACGUGUUACAAUGGGGGGUACAGAAGGCGGCUACCUGGUGACAGGAUGCUAAUCCCAAAAACCUCUCUCAGUUCGGAUCGAAGUCUGCAACCCGACUUCGUGAAGCUGGAUUCGCUAGUAAUCGCGCAUCAGCCAUGGCGCGGUGAAUACGUUCCCGGGCCUUGUACACACCGCCCGUCAAGCCAUGAAAGCCGGGGGUACCUGAAGUACGUAACCGCAAGGAGCGUCCUAGGGUAAAACUGGUAAUUGGGGCU
rnacentral:rRNA from 1 species